UACGUAGGGUGCGAGCGUUAAUCGGAAUUACUGGGCGGAAAGCGUGCGCAGGCGGCGCCGCAAGUCAGGCGUGAAAUCCCCGAGCUUAACUUGGGAAUGGCGCUUGAAACUACGGUGCUGGAGUGUGGCAGAGGGAGGUGGAAUUCCACGUGUAGCGGUGAAAUGCGUAGAGAUGUGGAGGAACACCGAUGGCGAAGGCAGCCUCCUGGGCCAACACUGACGCUCAUGCACGAAAGCGUGGGGAGCAAACAGG
rnacentral:rRNA from 1 species